AGUGAACGCUGGCGGUAGGCCUAACACAUGCAAGUCGAACGGCAGCACAGUAAGAGCUUGCUCUUACGGGUGGCGAGUGGCGGACGGGUGAGGAAUACAUCGGAAUCUACUUUUUCGUGGGGGAUAACGUAGGGAAACUUACGCUAAUACCGCAUACGACCUACGGGUGAAAGCAGGGGAUCUUCGGACCUUGCGCGAUUGAAUGAGCCGAUGUCGGAUUAGCUAGUUGGCGGGGUAAAGGCCCACCAAGGCGACGAUCCGUAGCUGGUCUGAGAGGAUGAGCAGCCACACUGGAACUGAGACAGGGUCCAGACUCAUACGGGAGGCAGCAGUGGGGAAUAUUGGACAAUGGGCGCAAGCCUGAUCCAGCCAUACCGCGUGGGUGAAGAAGGCCUUCGGGUUGUAAAGCCCUUUUGUUGGGAAAGAAAAGCAGCAGGUUAAUACCCCGCUGUUCUGACGGUACCCAAAGAAUAAGCACCGGCUAACUUCGUG
rnacentral:rRNA from 1 species